GAGGAAUAUUGCACAAUGGGCGCAAGCCUGAUGCAGCAACGCCGCGUGGGGGAUGAAGGCCUUCGGGUCGUAAACCCCUUUUCUGUGGGAAGAGAAAGGACGGUACCACAGGAAUAAGUCUCGGCUAACUACGUGCCAGCAGCCGCGGUAAAGCGUAGGAGGCGAACGUUAUCCGGAAUUACUGGGCGUAAAGCGCGCGCAGGCGGCUUUGUAAGUUCGACGUGAAAGCUCCUGGCUUAACUGGGAGAGGCCGUUGAAUACUGCGGAGCUUGAGGUUGGGAGAGGGAAGCGGAAUUCCCGGUGUAGUGGUGGAAUGCGUAGAUAUCGGGAAGAACUCCAGUGGCGAAGGCGGCUUCCUAGCCUACACCUGACGCUGAGGCGCGAAAGCGUGGGGAGCGAAC
rnacentral:rRNA from 1 species